CUCUGACACUCAAUGCGAGCCCUGUUGACCAAAACACGAGCAUCUGCUUUCAACCCAGCACAUACUAGUGCUAUAUGAUCAUCCAAUGAAACAAUUUUCCUCACCGUUCUAGCAUCUUGAAGUUUGGCGGUGGAUUUCUUCUCGACACCGAGAACGACGACGUCAGUGCCGCGAACACCUACGGCGGCAUUUCCCUUGCGGACGGCUUCGAGAGCGUACUCCACUUGAAACAAAUGUCCAUCCGGAGAGAACACCGUAAUUGCGCGAUCGUAUCGAGCCAUUUCAGUUUAAGCCCCUCUGAUAGUUUCUUAGCUGCUUUUCUAAUAUCGCGGAGCCCUUUUUUUCGGUGCGAU
rnacentral:misc_RNA from 1 species